rnacentral:rRNA from 1 species
CCUACGGGAGGCAGCAGUGGGGAAUAUUGCACAAUGGGCGCAAGCCUGAUGCAGCGACGCCGCGUGGGGGAUGACGGCCUUCGGGUUGUAAACUCCUUUCGUUAGGGACGAAGCCACACCUUUUUUGGGUGUGGUGACGGUACCUUUGUUAAGAAGCACCGGCUAACUACGUGCCAGCAGCCGCGGUAAUACGUAGGGUGCGAGCGUUGUCCGGAAUUACUGGGCGUAAAGAGCUCGUAGGUGGUUUGUUGCGUCGUCUGUGAAAUUCCGGGGCUUAACUUCGGGGUGGCAGGCGAUACGGGCAUAACUAGAGUGCUGUAGGGGAGACUGGAAUUCCUGGUGUAGCGGUGGAAUGCGCAGAUAUCAGGAGGAACACCGAUGGCGAAGGCAGGUCUCUGGGCAGUAACUGACGCUGAGGAGCGAAAGCAUGGGGAGCGAACAGGAUUAGAUACCCCAGUAGUC